UUUCGUACAGUAGAACCGAUUUUGUGAUGUUAAUUGUAAUGUUUAUUAUCUUAAAGUUUGAUUGUUGACCAAUUAAAACUAACAGCACAAAAUCGGUUUUAGUAAGCGAAAA